rnacentral:rRNA from 1 species
AUUGAACGCUGGCGGCAGGCCUAACACAUGCAAGUCGAGCGAGAGGCGGACGGGUGAGUAAUGUAUGGGGACUGCCCGCUGGCGGGGGAUAACUACUGGAAACGGUAGCUAAUACCGCCUACUAUAGGAUAACCCAUAUGGGGUUAUCUAGUAGGUGAGGUAAUGGCUCACCUAGGCGACGAUCCCUAGCUGGUCUGAGAGGAUGAGCAGCCACACUGGGACUGAGAAACGGCCCAGACUCCUACGGAUGCAGCAGUGGGGAAUAUUGCACAAUGGGCGCAAGCCUGAUGCAGCCAUGCCGCGUGUAUGAAGAAGGCCCUAGGGUUGUAAAGUACUUUCAGUCGGGAGGCGUUACCUACAGAAGAAGCACCGGCUAACUCCGUGCCAGCAGCCGCGGUAAUUC